rnacentral:rRNA from 1 species
AAAAACAUGUCUUUUUGAUUAUAAUUUAAGGUCUGACCUGCCCAAUGAUUGUUUUAAAUGGCUGCAGUAUUUUGACUGUACAAAGGUAGCAUAAUCAUUAGUUUCUUAAUUAGGAGCUGGUAUGAACGGUUUGAUGAAAAAUUAACUGUCUCUGUUCAAUUGAAUUAGAAUUUUAUUUUUAAGUGAAAAAGCUUAAAUUUUUUAUAAAGACGAGAAGACCCUAUAGAGUUUUAUAUUUUUAUAAUUUUUAAUUUUAUGUUUUUAUUUUUAAUUAUUAUUGAAAAUAUUUUGUUGGGGUGACAGAAAAAUUUAAUUAACUUUUUUUUAAUUUUUACACUAAUUGGUGAAUUUAUGAUCCUUUAUUAGAUUAUAAGAUUAAAUUACCUUAGGGAUAACAGCGUAAUUUUUUUUGAAAGUUCUUAUUGAUAAAAAAGUUUGCGACCUCGAUGUUGGAUUAAAAUUUGUUUUUGGUGUAGAAGCUUUAAAACUAGGUCUGUUCGACCUUUA